rnacentral:rRNA from 1 species
GAUGAGACCUUGGAGUCGGGUUGUUUGUGAAUGCAGCCCAAAGUGGGUGGUAAACUCCAUCCAAGGCUAAAUACAAGCACGAGUCCGAUAGUAAACAAGUACCGUGAGGGAAAGUUGAAAAGUACUUUGAAGAGAGAGUAAACAGUGCGUGAAACCGCUCAGAGGUAAACGGGUGGAGUUGAACUGCUUGUUCUGUGAAUUCAGCUGGUGACUGUAUUAUGAUCUUGGUUAUAUUGAUUGGACAGCGGGGUCUGUGUAGCAGCAGGUCUUUGCCUUCGGGUGAGGAUGCGCGAUUUACUUAUCAAGUAAUGUGCGCCUCGUUUGUUCUUCGAAUCGGUUGCCAGUGCACUUUCUCAGAGCGCUCAUCACGACCGGCACUGCUGUCUGGCUGUUGUGGUUAAACCGAUUUGGCAUAGUUCUUGUAGCUUUGUCGAAUCGGGAUGGCAGGUAGCUCGUUGGCUUGCUUGUGGUUCGCUGCAGGUGUUUGGCUUUCGGGUGUAAUCAGCUGACCAUGAUGGUUCUGUACAGUGUGUCGGAGACAGCGGCUUGUGGUGUGUGCAUGUGUGGUGGUUUGCAGGCAUCUCUGGGUUUGGUUGCCUUGUUCGCUUGUCAAAGCAAGCCUGGCAAUAGCCUUGAGACGUUCUGUGGACUGCUGCAUGUGUGACAUCUUCACAGGGCCGACAGUCUGUGAUGUUGUGGUAGACUAUCCACCUGACCCGUCUUGAAACACGGACCAAGGAGAGUAA